rnacentral:rRNA from 1 species
GAUGAACGCUGGCGGCGUGCCUAAUACAUGCAAGUCGAGCGAACAGACGAGGAGUUUGCUCCUCUGACGUUAGCGGCGGACGGGUGAGUAACACGUGGAUAACUUAUCUAUAAGACUGGGAUAACUUCGGGAAACCGGAGCUAAUACCGGAUAAUAUAUUGAACCGCAUGGUUCAAUAGUGAAAGCCGGUUUUGCUGUCACUUAUAGAUGGAUCCGCGCCGGAUUAGCUAGUUGGUAAGGUAACGGCUUACCAAGGCAACGAUCAGUAGCCGACCUGAGAGGAUGAUCAGCCACACUGGAACUGAGACACGGUCCAGACUCCUACGGGAGGCAGCAGUAGGGAAUCUUCCGCAAUGGGCGAAAGCCUGACGGAGCAACGCCGCGUGAGUGAUGAAGGUCUUCGGAUCGUAAAGCACUGUUAUUAGGGAAGAACAAAUGUGUAAGUAACUAGGCACGUCUUGACGGUACCUAAACAAAAAGCCACGGCUAACUACGUG